rnacentral:misc_RNA from 1 species
UCCGGUUUGUCACCGGCAGUCUCAUUAGAGUGCCCAACUGAAUGUAGCAACUAAUGACAAGGGUUGCGCUCGUUGCGGGACUUAACCCAACAUCUCACGACACGAGCUGACGACGGCCAUGCAGCACCUGUGUUCAAGUUCUCUUUCGAGCACUUCUACAUCUCUGCAAAAUUCUUGACAUGUCAAGGGUAGGUAAGGUUUUUCGCGUUGCAUCGAAUUAAACCACAUCAUCCACCGCUUGUGCGGGUCCCCGUCAAUUCCUUUGAGUUUUAAUCUUGCGACCGUACUCCCCAGGCGGAGUGCUUAGCGCGUUAACUGCGUCACUGAGACUUGAAGUCCCAACAACUAGCACUCAUCGUUUACAGCGUGGACUAC